rnacentral:rRNA from 1 species
AGUUGCGAACGGGUGAGUAACGCGUAGGUAACCUGCCUGGUAGCGGGGGAUAACUAUUGGAAACGAUAGCUAAUACCGCAUAACAGCAGCCGACACAUGUUAGCUGUUUGAAAGGAGCAAUUGCUUCACUACCAGAUGGACCUGCGUUGUAUUAGCUAGUUGGUAGGGUAACGGCUCACCAAGGCAACGAUACAUAGCCGACCUGAGAGGGUGAUCGGCCACACUGGGACUGAGACACGGCCCAGACUCCUACGGGAGGCAGCAGUAGGGAAUCUUCGGCAAUGGGGGCAACCCUGACCGAGCAACGCCGCGUGAGUGAAGAAGGUUUUCGGAUCGUAAAGCUCUGUUGUAAGAGAAGAACGUUGAGUAGAGUGGAAAGUUACUCAAGUGACGGUAUCUUACCAGAAAGGGACGGCUAACUACGUGCCAGCAGCCGCGGUAAUACGUAGGUCCCAAGCGUUGUCCGGAUUUAUUGGGCGUAAAGCGAGCGCAGGCGGUUGUAUAAGUCUGAAGUAAAAGGCAGUGGCUCAACCAUUGUGUGCUUUGGAAACUGUACAACUUGAGUGCAGAAAGGGAGAGUGGAAUUCCAUGUGUAGCGGUGAAAUGCGUAGAUAUAUGGAGGAACACCGGUGGCGAAAGCG